GAAUGAGACACAACUCUUCUUACCACAUUUAAUUUUUUUUUAAAUGUGGUAAGAAGAGUUGUGUCUGAUUC